rnacentral:rRNA from 1 species
UGGGGAAUAUUGCACAAUGGGCGAAAGCCUGAUGCAGCGACGCCGCGUGAGGGAUGACGGCCUUCGGGUUGUAAACCUCUUUCAGUAGGGACGAAGCGCAAGUGACGGUACCUGCAGAAGAAGCACCGGCUAACUACGUGCCAGCAGCCGCGGUAAUACGUAGGGUGCGAGCGUUGUCCGGAAUUACUGGGCGUCAAGAGCUCGUAGGCGGUUUGUCACGUCGUCUGUGAAGUCCUCGGGCUUAACCCUGGACGUGCAGGCGAUACGGGCUGACUUGAGUACUACAGGGGAGACUGGAAUUUCUGGUGUAGCGGUGGAAUGCACAGAUAUCAGGAAGAACACCGAUGGCGAAGGCAGGUCUCUGGGUAGUAACUGACGCUGAGGAGCGAAAGCAUGGGUAGCGAACAGG